UGGGGAAUCUUAGACAAUGGGGGAAACCCUGAUCUAGCCAUGCCGCGUGAGUGAUGAAGGCCUUAGGGUCGUAAAGCUCUUUCGCCAGGGAUGAUAAUGACAGUACCUGGUAAAGAAACCCCGGCUAACUCCGUGCCAGCAGCCGCGGUAAUACGGAGGGGGUUAGCGUUGUUCGGAAUUACUGGGCGUAAAGCGCGCGUAGGCGGAUUAUUAAGUCGGGGGUGAAAUCCCGGGGCUCAACCCCGGAACUGCCUCCGAUACUGGUAGUCUUGAGUUCGAGAGAGGUGAGUGGAAUUCCGAGUGUAGAGGUGAAAUUCGUAGAUAUUCGGAGGAACACCAGUGGCGAAGGCGGCUCACUGGCUCGAUACUGACGCUGAGGUGCGAAAGUGUGGGGAGCAAACAGGAUUAGAUACCCCCGUAGUCC
rnacentral:rRNA from 1 species